AAGCAUGACUAAAUUAUCGUUAAGGCUUUUUGUUUAGUUGGUUUUUUUUUUGUUUUUGUUUGUUUGUUUGUUUGUUUUUGGUUUUUGAGACAGGGUUUCUCUGUGUAGCCCUGGCUGUCCUGGAACUCACUCUGUAGACCAGGCUGUCCUGGAACUCAGAAAUCUGCCUGCCUCUGCCUCCUAAGUAAUGGUAUUAAAGGCGUGUGCCACUACCGCCUGGUCAGCUAUAGUUAAGUUUUUAAUGGUGGAAAUGUUUUCAAUAUGUGAUUUCUGGAUGCAGAGUUGGAAGUUGCCUUAAUUGCCAGUGUUUAUCCCAUCCAAACAUCAUGGGGUUCAGGCCAUAAGAAGCAGGGGAGGAUAGUGGGAGUUGGUGACAGAAUUUUGAGGAUGAUUGCAAGGGUCUAGGAGACAGUCAGAGCUCAUUGCCAAGGAUUCCAAGAGUGAAAGGGAUACUGCCAGUGGAAAGGCAGACUGGCAAACAAAAUGCCUGCAUAACGACAUUUGGAUCUCCGGAUGGGGCUAGAUUUUGUUCCUCAGAGAGAGGACAGAGAGACAUAUUCAAGCUCCAAAGUCUGAAGUUUGUGUGGGGAAUUCCUUACUUUCUAGAAUAAGAUAGAGUUUCUAUUUAAAGUAUCUAAUAUUUCAGCAUAGCUGAACUAAAGAAUCAGAUGUAAGACUGAAAACCUUAGAUGUGAUGAUUUUUUUUUGUUUUUUUUUUUUUGUUUGUUUGUUUUUGUUUUCCAUUGGGUGCAAAUGACCAUAAACUCUAAAACCCAAAAGUGGUUCAGCUCUUGCAGGCGAAGGGACAUGAUGGCAUGCACGAAACACCAGAGCAAGCAGAUCCUUGCAAAUGAUAGAUAUAAAAAGAGUGCCCUAUUCUUCAAGAAAACCAACUUAUUUUCAGCUUGAAUAAUAGCCUAGUGCAUCAUGGACCUCUGUCAUUUCCCUGGAAUUUCUUUUUGUUUUGUAGGUCAGGUUUCUGAGUCUCAUAUGGGAAAACGCAUAGUUAAAUUUAGGGAGGAAAUAGAAUAUAAAUAGCUAUUUUAGAGGAUUGUAAGGGUUGAAAAAUUACAUGUCAAAAUUGAAAAUGUAAAAGUUAGAUUCUUCUGGCUUUCUUUACUUUAAAUUUCUUUUCGAGUUUUUUUCCAGUGGUGAUAGCAUUAAUGUGAAUAUUGAAUUAUAUUUUCUUACAAAUAUUGAAUAUGCUGUUUAUAUGCAACACAGAGACCUUUGUAAAUAGAUUGCUUGUGGUUCACCAUUACUUCUGUUGGAUAAUCUUAAAUUUAUUUAACUAUCUAAGAAGUACUCAUAACUUAGAACUAUAAAUUCAACAAGAUGGAAAAAUACAGUUUUAUAUUAUCGUUUCAGAAGAAUUUUUGUGAAAUUUUUAUGUAUAGGAAGAAAUCAUUAUGUUAUUGACCCUGCACAACAAAGAACUCAAUGAUGAAUUUUAACAGUUCAGUGACCUCAGAACUGUCCUCUCUGUUUGGUCUAGCUAGCUCUGAAGUAUUGUAUUCGAAUUCCAUAUGUGUGUCAGAAAACAUAGAGUGCUUCUUCAGAUUUCUCAGCUGAAUGCUCUCUAAUAGUAUUUCACGUAUUUAUAAUGGUGCUGAAAUUCUUUCUGUCAUAUUUUAUAUUGUGUAUACAUUUUCCUUAUCAAUAUAAAGCCUCAGGAUAGAGGUUGUCCUCGUGUAUCUUUGACAACCCCAUGGAUCUUGAAAUGAUGUCUUCUGAUGAGUGUUAAUAUGCAUGCAAUAGAAAUCAGGGGAAAGAUGAGGCAAGGGAAAUAUGGGAGAUAUAAGGAAAGGCAAGUGAUAAAUGGUAACUUUAAAUUUUCUUAUUGUCUUAAAAAUACCUUUAAAGCUUGGGUGUGUCAGCACUCAACAAAUGGGAGAGAAAAACUAUAGAGAACAUAUCUGGAGGCUAGGCAUGGACCCCGGUUGAGGGAUCAGGCCACCCAUCCUUCUCAAAAAUAUUAAUCCAGAAUUGCUCCUGUCUAAAGGAAAUUCAGGGACAAAGAGUGAAGCAGAGACUGAAGGAAAGGCUAUCCAGAGACUGCUCCACCUGGGGGCAUCUGCACCUGCAGUCACCAAACCAGACAAUAUUGGGGAUGCCAAGAAGUACUUGCAGACAGGAGCCUGAUAUAGCUGUUCCCUGAGAGGCUCUGCCAGAGCCUGACCAAUACAGAUGUGGAUGCUCACAGCCAACCAUCAGACUGAGCUCAGGGACCCCAAUGGAAGAGUUAGAGGAAGGACUUAAGGAGCUGAAGGGGUUUGCCACCCCACAGGAAGAACAACAAUAGCAGUCAUCCAGAUUCCCUAGAGCUCCCAGGGCCUAAAUCAUCAUUUAAAGAGUACACCUGGAGGGACCAAUGGCUUCAGCUGAAUAUGUAGCAGAGGAUUGUCUUAUCUGUCAUCAAUGAGCCUGGAUACCCUUGGUACAGUGGACGCUCAAUGUCCCUGUGUAGGGGAAUGCUAGGGCUGAGAGGCAGGAGUAGGUGGCUGGCUGAGUGACCACCCUUGUAGAGGUAGGGGAAGGAGGAUGGGACAGGAUGUUUGCAGAGGGGAAACCAGGAAGGGGGCCAGCAUUUGAAAUGUAAAUAAAUAAAAUAACCAACAAAAAUACCUUUAAAGAUUACAAAUGUUCAAAACUGUAGAAUUCAGUCCUUACAACAUGUCUAGACAUGUAUGGCACCAAUGCUAUCUAAGGGUUUUCUCCUGUAGAUCCUGAACAAGGAUUGUUCUCUGCCUGUGAUUCCUCUUAAUCUCCACUUUAAUCUUAAUAUUAUAGUUCAAGAAGAUUUCCAAAAGUAGAGAUGCUGUUUUCUACCAUCAACUUCUGACUCCCUUGUAACUCAUGUUUCAGUCAUCCUUAGUCAUGGGAGGAUCCUAAAGGGUUUCCUCACACUGUUUGCAUAUCAUUGUCCUUGACUAAUUGGCACCUGGCAUCACUGAAGUUCUCUAGGUUAUUAUCAUUUCUGCACCCUUGGUGUGGCACUUAUUUACCUCCAUUCAAUAACAGUUGUGCAUAGUUCCCUCUUGUCUACCAGACUGUGCAAAUUUCUUAUUUGACCGUCCAGUAUUUUCUCUUGCAUAGCACCCAUUGAUAACUUAUUGAUAAGUCUGUAUUCAAUUAAUUAGUGCAAGUUUGUUCAAAAUUUUUCAACUAUACAAUAAGAAGCAAUGAUUUUAGAAAUCAAUGUUUAUGAAUUACUGGUAACCAUAUCUAUGCAGAUAUGAAAAUCCAUUAGAUUCGUUGCUGUUAACAAACAUGUAAAAUUUAAAAUUUCUAUCAUUGUUAUGGUUUAAAUGUAUCCUCCCAGAUUCAUAUAUGGGAAACCUAGUCCAUCUAUAUAACUACCAAGAUUGGUCUUUUUUAGAAUAUAUUUAAAGAUAGAAAAAAAUAUCAACUUUAGGUAUCACAUUUUGGAAUUAACUGUCAACUUGCAGUAAAAAAUAUACUAGGAGUACUUGAUGGGAUCAGAAAGAAGAGUCAUUGAUUUAAAUGAGGGUAUCAGAGAAGUUUCCUAAGGAGGUCACUGCAAAUGUAUUCCUUUAAGGAUGACUAAGCCUUUUCCAGGGGUAAGGCCCCUUCCCCAUCCUCAGAACCAGAGCAGAUGUGAGUGAUGUAAGGCACAGAAUCAGAAAAGGAUGGGGAAAGUUAAGAAAGAGUCAGACACUGAGAAUAUCACUACAAAGCUAGGAGUUGCAUUCAAAUCAUGUUUUUUUCUUUCUUAACGUGAAGUAAUGUCAAACUUUAUUGUGUAUUACUUCCAAAAAUGAAAGUAAAGUUACUUUCAUUUUAAAGAAGAGAGCAUGAAAAGAAGUAAUGUAUUAAUGAAAGGAAGUACCUGGCAAAGAUGUUAGAAGGGAGGGGUAGAAUUCCUCUCAGAAAUAUGAAUUCUUGCAGAUUCAUUUUAGGUUAGAGUAGUUAAUAUUUGCUCUACUUUUUCCUGUUUAGGAUUUUCCCAAUGUCAUUGCUUUAAUAUCUUAAAAUACACACACACACACACACUUGUAGAUAUUUCUUUUGGGAACAAAAUUUGUGGGUUUCUUUCAUGUACAUGGAACUAUUCAUUUUAAAAGUCAUAAUUGCAUUCUCUUAGUAAUGAAUGCAUCAGAACUAAAAUACAUUCAUAUUGUGUGAUCUUACUUUUCCUUCUUGGCAUUUCUUGUCAGUUUUCAGCUCCC
rnacentral:lncRNA from 1 species